UACGGGAGGCAGCAGUGGGGAAUAUUGCACAAUGGGCGCAAGCCUGAUGCAGCCAUGCCGCGUGUAUGAAAAAGGCCCUUCGGGUUGUAAAGUACUUUCAGUCGUGAGGAAGGUGUUAAGGUUAAUAACCUUAGCAAUUGACGUUAGCGACAGAAGAAGCACCGGCUAACUCCGUGCCAGCAGCCGCGGUAAUACGGAGGGUGCGAGCGUUAAUCGGAAUUACUGGGCGUAAAGGGCACGCAGGCGGUUAAUUAAGUUGGAUGUGAAAUCCCCGGGCUUAACCUGGGAAUGGCAUUCAAGACUGGUUAGCUAGAGUCUUGUAGAGGGGGUAGAAUUCCAUGUGUAGCGGUGAAAUGCGUAGAGAUGUGGAGGAAUACCGGUGGCGAAGGCGGCCCCUGGACAAAGACUGACGCUCAUGUGCGAAAGCGUGGGGAGCAAAC
rnacentral:rRNA from 1 species